CGGCGAGCUCUGCGGGCCGCACAACUUCUCCUCCGAGUCUUGAGCAUCCAGCGGAACUGAGCAGUGGUGCGCCAGGGUUGGGCCCUUCACCUGGCCUCCGUCCCCCAUAAAAUGUGUUUACAAAAUAUGGGAAGUGUUACAUGUUUAACUCAGGCGAGGAUGGCAAACCUCUGCUCACCACGGUCAAGGGGGGGACAGGCAACGGGCUGGAGAUCAUGCUGGACAUUCAGCAGGAUGAGUACCUGCCCAUCUGGGGAGAGACAGAGGAAACGACAUUUGAAGCAGGAGUGAAAGUUCAGAUCCACAGUCAGUCUGAGCCACCUUUCAUCCAAGAGCUGGGCUUUGGGGUAGCUCCAGGGUUCCAGACCUUUGUGGCCACACAGGAGCAGAGGCUCACAUACCUGCCCCCACCGUGGGGUGAGUGCCGAUCCUCAGAGAUGGGCCUCGACUUUUUUCCUGUUUACAGCAUCACCGCCUGUAGGAUUGACUGUGAGACUCGCUACAUUGUGGAAAAUUGCAACUGCCGCAUGGUUCACAUGCCAGGGGAUGCCCCUUUUUGUACCCCUGAGCAGCACAAGGAGUGUGCAGAGCCUGCCCUAGGUCUGUUGGCGGAAAAGGACAGCAAUUACUGUCUCUGCAGGACACCCUGCAACCUAACCCGCUACAACAAAGAGCUCUCCAUGGUGAAGAUCCCCAGCAAGACAUCAGCCAAGUACCUUGAGAAGAAAUUUAACAAAUCAGAAAAAUAUA
rnacentral:sRNA from 1 species